GCAGCUUUAUGGAAACAUCAUGACACAUUGUAUUUUUUUUUUCUUCUCCCCCUUUUUUUUUCCCCCCCCUUGAUCUCAUAAUAAAGCGAACUCAGAGAGUCACAUUCGGACGGCUCCCCAUCUCUAAACCUUGUUCUCUCCUAUCCGAGCAGCUGAUCGCAAAGCCCAGCCAUGGGCUGGAAUGGACGCUUAAACCAUCUAAGUAUUAAUAAGCCAUAGUGUUCUGUGUUGUUUCUAUAAAUGGAUACAUCCGAUUUCUGUGUUUGUUUUGUGUUUCUCUUACCGUCAGAUGUCAC